UGGGGAAUUUUGGACAAUGGGGGCAACCCUGAUCCAGCCAUUCCGCGUGAGUGAAGAAGGCCUUCGGGUUGUAAAGCUCUUUUGUCCGGAGCGAAACGGUUGGCGUGAAUAUCGCCGACUACUGACGGUACCGGAAGAAUAAGCACCGGCUAACUACGUGCCAGCAGCCGCGGUAAUACGUAGGGUGCGAGCGUUAAUCGGAAUUACUGGGCGUAAAGCGUGCGCAGGCGGUUUUGUAAGCCAGAUGUGAAAUCCCCGGGCUUAACCUGGGAAUGCAUUUGGGACUGCAAGGCUGGAGUGCGGCAGAGGAGACUGGAAUUCCUGGUGUAGCAGUGAAAUGCGUAGAUAUCAGGAGGAAUACCGAUGGCGAAGGCAGGUCUUCUUGGGCUGACACUGACGCUCAUGCACGAAAGCGUGGGGAGCAAACA
rnacentral:rRNA from 1 species